rnacentral:rRNA from 1 species
GUGAGCAACCUGCCCCUGACUCUGGGAUAAGCGCUGGAAACGGCGUCUAAUACUGGAUAUGUGACGUGACCGCAUGGUCUGCGUCUGGAAAGAAUUUCGGUUGGGGAUGGGCUCGCGGCCUAUCAGCUUGUUGGUGAGGUAAUGGCUCACCAAGGCGUCGACGGGUAGCCGGCCUGAGAGGGUGACCGGCCACACUGGGACUGAGACACGGCCCAGACUCCUACGGGAGGCAGCAGUGGGGAAUAUUGCACAAUGGGCGCAAGCCUGAUGCAGCAACGCCGCGUGAGGGACGACGGCCUUCGGGUUGUAAACCUCUUUUAGCAGGGAAGAAGCGAAAGUGACGGUACCUGCAGAAAAAGCGCCGGCUAACUACGUGCCAGCAGCCGCGGUAAUACGUAGGGCGCAAGCGUUAUCCGGAAUUAUUGGGCGUAAAGAGCUCGUAGGCGGUUUGUCGCGUCUGCUGUGAAAUCCGGAGGCUCAACCUCCGGCCUGCAGUGGGUACGGGCAGACUAGAGUGCGGUAGGGGAGAUUGGAAUUCCUGGUGUAGCGGUGGAAUGCGCAGAUAUCAGGAGGAACACCGAUGGCGAAGGCAGAUCUCUGGGCCGUAACUGACGCUGAGGAGCGAAAGGGUGGGGAGCAAACAGGCUUAGAUACCCUGGUAGUCCACCCCGUAAACGUUGGGAACUAGUUGUGGGGUCCAUUCCACGGAUUCCGUGACGCAGCUAACGCAUUAAGUUCCCCGCCUGGGGAGUACGGCCGCAAGGCUAAAACUCAAAGGAAUUGACGGGGACCCGCACAAGCGGCGGAGCAUGCGGAUUAAUUCGAUGCAACGCGAAGAACCUUACCAAGGCUUGACAUAUACGAGAACGGGCCAGAAAUGGUCAACUCUUUGGACACUCGUAAACAGGUGGUGCAUGGUUGUCGUCAGCUCGUGUCGUGAGAUGUUGGGUUAAGUCCCGCAACGAGCGCAACCCUCGUUCUAUGUUGCCAGCACGUAAUGGUGGGAACUCAUGGGAUACUGCCGGGGUCAACUCGGAGGAAGGUGGGGAUGACGUCAAAUCAUCAUGCCCCUUAUGUCUUGGGCUUCACGCAUGCUACAAUGGCCGGUACAAAGGGCUGCAAUACCGCGAGGUGGAGCGAAUCCCAAAAAGCCGGUCCCAGUUCGGAUUGAGGUCUGCAACUCGACCUCAUGAAGUCGGAGUCGCUAGUAAUCGCAGAUCAGCAACGCUGCGGUGAAUACGUUCCCGGGUCUUGUACACACCGC